rnacentral:ncRNA from 1 species
UCAUCAGAGCAAAGUUGAGAUCCACAACAGACAGAUCUUACUGACGACAUUGCGAAGGGACUAUCGCCUGCAUGGGAAUAUCGAAGUCAUCUCCGCUACAAUAAACUGGCGGGAUAUUUAAAGCUAUCAAUCCGUAACACGUAUCCUGAAUACUGCUAUCAGCAAUGUCAUCAGCUCCAGAGUAGUUUCCGGUGGAGUAUUCUGCUAUAAGACAUUUUUGUUUUAUGCCGGAUAUCGUCGUGGCGUGCAUUAAAAUCUAUUAACAAAGAAAUCCGGACCGGUCCGGACGCAUGCUGUCCUCCUAACCUAACAGAAAUAUCCUGCUAGGUGGGGCGUAGGUGCUGGGAGGAACAGACAUUUGCGACAGCCCGGUAAAAAUAAAAAUACCCAAAUGCCUUGUCAUCUAAUUACUGACGCAGAUGAAUGGAUUAACGAGAUUCCUACUGUCCCUAUCUGCUAUAUAGCGAAACCACAGCGAAGGGAACGGGAUUGGAAUAAUUAGCGGGGAAAGAAGACCCUUUUGAGCUUGACUCUAAUCUGGCAGUAUAAGGAGACAUAAGAGGUGUAGAAUAAGUGGGAGAUAUUAGACUUCGGCUUGGUAUCGACAAUGAAAUACCACUACUCUUAUUGUUUCCUUACUUACUUGAUUAAAUGGAAUGUGUAUCAUUUCCUAGCCAUUAUACGGAUAUAAUUAUUGUCUUAUGGUAUUGGGGCUUGAUGCACGAUUCUUGAUCAAUGUAUCACGAGUUUGUUAUAUAAUCGCAAGCAAAUUCUUUAAUGAGAGAAUGCAUUUAUGUAUUAUUGAUUCCACGAUUUUGUAUAACUCCAAUUACUCAGGUAUGAAUCAAUUUCAAGACAUUGCCAGGGAAAGGAGUUUGACUGGGGCGGGUACAUCUCUCAAAA